rnacentral:SRP_RNA from 1 species
GCUGGGCGUGGUGGCGAGUGCCUGUAAUCCCAGCUACUUGGGAGGCUGAGGCAGGAGAAUCACUUGAACCCGGGAGGUGGAGGUUGCAGUGAGCCGAGAUUGUGCCACUGCACUCCAGCCUGGGCAACAGAGUGAGAUUCCGUCUCAA